CACAAAUCCGGGCGAGCAGCGCUGGUAAGACGUGGGGGGGUGGGUUUGUCCGGAAUUCCUGUGGGUAAAAGGCUGGUAGGGUGUUUGUUGCGUUGUUCGUGAAAACGUACAGCUUAACUGGGGGCGGGCGGGCGAUACGGGCAGACUAGAGUACUGCAGGGGAGACUGGAAUUCCUGGUGUAGCGGUGGAAUGCGCAGAUAUCAGGAGGAACACCGGUGGCGAAGGCGGGUCUCUGGGCAGUAACUGACGCUGAGGAGCGAAAGCGUGGGGAGCGAACAGGAUUAGAUACCCUUGUAUUC
rnacentral:rRNA from 1 species